GAUGAACGCUGGCGGCGUGCCUAAUACAUGCAAGUCGAGCGAACAGACCAGUAGCUUGCUCCUCUCACGUUAGCGGCGGACGAGUGAGUAACACGUGGAUAACCUACCUGUAAGACUGGGAGAACUUCGGGAAACCGGAGCUAAUACCGGAUAAUAUAUUGAACCGCAUGGUUCAAUAGUGAAAGACGGUUUUGCUGUCACUGAUAGAUGGAUCCGCGCCGCAUUAGCUAGUUGGUAAGGUAACGGCUUACCAAGGCAACGAUGCGUAUCCGAGCUGAGAGAGUGAUCGGCGACAUUGGAGCGGAGACACGGUCCAGGCGCCUACGGGAGGCAGCAGUCGGGAAUCGGCCGCAGUGGGCGAAAGCCUGACGCAGCGAGGCCGCGUGAGUGAUGACGGUGUUGGGAUCGUAAAACUGUCUUAUGAGGGAAGAACAAAUUUGUGAGUAGAUAUGCAGGUCUUGACGGUACCUGAUGAGAAAGCCACGGCUAACUACGUG
rnacentral:rRNA from 1 species